rnacentral:misc_RNA from 1 species
UUAAUCUUUGAGACAAGCAUAUGACUACUGGCAGGAUCAACCAGGUAGCAUUCCUCAUCGACGUCGGGACCGUAUGAGCAAAAGCCGUAAAGACCUAGUCAAAACGGCCACAACCGUCGUUCGCACAUAGCGUUGAACGCUCAAUUAGGGGCAAAAAGAGACGAAUGCCUCAUGCCCGCUAGGUAUUCCACAACCGAGAGAACGAGCAACGAUCAUGGCCCAACACACCAAGCACGUGCAUGCAAGGAGAGUGGAACACAAUCGAUGCUUUCAAGUUCACUCCGUGCCACAAUCCUAAAGGACGCAACACAAAGCGAAACUGAAAUUGAGACAAUUUAAUGCCCUUCUAAAUGGAAUGCAGCACAGGAAACCAACAUUGCAAAGGCACACAGUGCCUAUGCCAACAAUUGAAGAGACAUGCAUGGUACAUUGUCGCUGCCCCAAGCAGGGAUCCAACGUAUCAAAACGCAUCAAUCACCACUCAG